rnacentral:lncRNA from 1 species
GGCUCGUUCACCUUUUUCCGCCAUGAGCACUGACUGACGUAUUCGCGAGCCGGUUGCGUGAAAGAUGCGAGGCAGCAUGUCGUUAUCGUGGCAACCACAAGAAGAUGGACUCCGGCAAAUCCUGCAGCUACUGAAGGAAUCCCAGUCACCGGACACCGCGACCCAGCGUGCCGUACAGCAGAAACUUGAGGAGUUGAACAAGUACCCCGACUUCAACAACUACCUCAUAUUUGUCCUCACAAAGUUGAAAUCUGAGGGUGAG